rnacentral:rRNA from 1 species
GAUGAACGCUGACAGAAUGCUUAACACAUGCAAGUCGAUUCGAUUUACCUUCGGGUAUUGAGGAUGGCGGACGGGUGAGUAACGCGUAAGGAACUUGCCUCUUGGUCUGGGACAACUGUUGGAAACGACAGCUAAUACCGGAUAUUAUGAGAUUCUCGCAUGGGAAACUUAUGAAAGCUAUAUGCGCCAAGAGAGAGCCUUGCGUUCCAUUAGCUAGUUGGUGGGGUAACGGCCCACCAAGGCGACGAUGGAUAGCCGGCCUGAGAGGGUGAACGGCCACAAGGGGACUGAGACACGGCCCUUACUCCUACGGGAGGCAGCAGUGGGGAAUAUUGGACAAUGGGCCACAAGCCUGAUCCAGCAAUUCUGUGUGCACGAUGAAGGUCUUCGGAUUGUAAAGUGCUUUCAGUUGGGAAGAAGAAAGUGACGGUACCAACAGAAGAAGCGACGGCUAAAUACGUGCCAGCAGCCGCGGUAAUACGUAUGUCGCAAGCGUUAUCCGGAUUUAUUGGGCGUAAAGCGCGUCUAGGCGGAAAAAUAAGUCUGAUGUUAAAAUGCGGGGCUCAACUCCGUAUUGCGUUGGAAACUGUUUUUCUAGAGUACUGGAGAGGUGGGCGGAACUACAAGUGUAGAGGUGAAAUUCGUAGAUAUUUGUAGGAAUGCCGAUGGAGAAGUCAGCUCACUGGNCAGAUACUGACGCUAAAGCGCGAAAGCGUGGGGAGCAAACAGGANUAGAUACCCUGGUAGUCCACGCCGUAAACGAUGAUCACUAG